rnacentral:rRNA from 1 species
CAGUCGCCACGGUAAUACGAAGGGGGCUAGCGUUGCUCGGAAUUACUGGGCGUAAAGCGCACGUAGGCGGAUAUUUAAGUCAGGGGUGAAACCCCAGAGCUCAACUCUGGAACUGCCUUUGAUACUGGGUAUCUUGAGUAUGGAAGAGGUGAGUGGAAUUCCGAGUGUAGAGGUGAAAUUCGUAGAUAUUCGGAGGAACACCAGUGGCGAAGGCGGCUCACUGGUCCAUUACUGACGCUGAGGUGCGAAAGCGUGGGGAGCAAACAGGAUUAGAUACCCCAGUAGUCCCUGUCUCUUAUAC